CCCCCCUUGUACAUGAUAUAUGACAUAAUAAAAAAUAUAACCCCAAACCUAAACAAGAAGGGGGUAGUUUGUUAAGAAGAAGAUAAUAAAGAACAGAAAGACGUCAUGGCUUGAGACGCUGGUCUCUAUCAGAAUCAAUAUAGGGUAAAAAAAACAAUCACUUGACCAAUAACCUAGCAAUUUAAUGUCACUGUCCGAAAGACCUACAGAUCUUGCCCAAGUGGCAGCACUCCUACGAAAAGAGUGUCCCCCAUAAUUUUGAGGAUUACAGCCAAGGUGUUGCAACAAAAACGAAGGCAUUGGAGAAAAACAGUUUAAGGCAAACAACUUCUGUCAGACAACCUAAAUAACGGAUCUGAUGGAUCUUCAGGUAAGGCAAGCACGCGGGAUAAGGCUGCAUACGGACUAAGCUGGUGACCGUGUAACAAAGGGAUAAUUACCUCAAUAGGCUUAGAACGAAACUGCAGCGUCUUAAUUACUUUGAGCGUUACAAGCAUACCCCAGCUACAAGGCAGCACAUCUACCCUUCGCAAAUUGAUUUCUGGAUCAAAAAGACCUUUGACUAAAAAAUUGUUUGGUCGCACAUAAAAACCUGUAAGGCAAGCAGCCUAUUAACAAUAUUAUUAUGACAUUCAAGAUUUAAAAUUGACUUAAAUCUUAACAACAGUUCUGGCGUAACAGGUGCCUUACAAUUUUGACUGGUACCAAGUUCCCGUUUGACACCAGUUAGUAAAUGCCGGACAUUCCAACAGCUUGCAAUAGGGUCCGGUUUGUCGUGCGAUUUAUGCAGCACAGAAAUAAUAUUCAAAUACGAUGGUAUCGAGCUAAACGCAAAGUUUUUCACAUCUACAAGAAACGCAAUGUAAAGUUCUACAUGUUUGGUUGUGCAUGGCACUGGUUUUAGGUCAUAAUUUUCAGUGAAUUCGAGAUAAGUCUUGAGAUGGGUACGGUAAGUUCCUGAAGUUGAACUAGCCCACCCCUUGCUUUUCAAGCGAACCACAGUGUUCUCCAACAUUUGCGUUUCCAUUGUUUCUCCAUCUUGAAUUAAAAAAGUCAAAAGAUAUGUGAUUUAGUAGCUCGAUAGUUGUAAACGGUAUACAAAAUAAGUGGCUCACAAGUUUAUCAUAAAGCCUAGAUAAUUGUCCUGGUUCAUGAAGUCUUAACGCGGCGUCAGCAAUAACAUUAUUACGACCACUGAUAAAGUUUGCUCUGAUUUCGAAAUUGUGUGUAGCCGAUAACCAGAAAAGUUCAACUGAGUCAUUAAAGUUUUGUUUCUAGAACUACCUUUGUUAAUGAUGCAUUUUGUAGUCAUGUUUUCUGUAGAUACGACUACACGUUUAUUAGCCCACAAAUGUCCCCAUCUCAUCGCGGACAACACAAUAGAC
rnacentral:lncRNA from 1 species